UCGAGAAUCUUCCGCAAUGGGCGAAAGCCUGACGGAGCAACGCCGCGUGCAGGAUGAAGGCCUUCGGGUCGUAAACUGCUGUCCCCGGGGAUGAAUAAUGACAGUACCCGGGGAGGAAGUCACGGCUAACUACGUGCCAGCAGCCGCGGUAAUACGUAGGUGACGAACGUUGUUCGGAUUUAUUGGGCGUAAAGGGUUCGUAGGGUGUUUAUUAAGAUUGGUGUGAAAUCCGAAGGCUCAACCUUGGAACUGCAUUGAUUACUGAUGAACUAGAGUAUCGUAGAGGAAAGUGUAAUUCCAGGUGUAGCGGUGGAAUGCGUAGAUAUCUGGAAGAACACCGACAGCGAAGGCAACUUUCUGGGCGAUAACUGACUCUGAGGAACGAAAGCAUGGGGAGCAAACA
rnacentral:rRNA from 1 species